rnacentral:rRNA from 1 species
GACAGAGGCCUCGAGCGUUAGGCGGAAUCACUGGGCUUAAAGCGCGUGUAGGCGGAUCGUUAAGUGCCUUGUGAAAUCCUGCGGCUCAACCGCAGAACCGCUGGGCAUACUGGCGGUCUUGGGCCACUUAGGGGUCACUGGAACAAGCGGUGGAGCGGUGAAAUGCGUAGAUAUCGGCUUGGAACGCCAAAGGGUGAAGACAGGUGACUGGGGGUGUGCCGACGCCUGAGACGCGAAAGCCAGAGGAGCAAACGGG